GAACUGAAACAUCUAAGUACCCGGAGGAAAGGACAUCAAUUGAGACUCCGUUAGUAGUGGCGAGCGAACGCGGACCAGGCCAGUGCUCUUAUCAAUGGAACUCGAACCGUCUGGAAAGUCGGGCCGUAGUGGGUGACAGCCCCUUAGAGGUAGCAAAGAUAAGAGACUCGAGUAGGGCGGGACACGUGAAAUCCUGUCUGAACAUGGGGGGACCAUCCUCCAAGCCUAAGUACUCCUACAUGACCGAUAGUGAACCAGUACCGUGAGGGAAAGGUGAAAAGCACCCCGACGAGGGGAGUGAAACAG
rnacentral:rRNA from 1 species